rnacentral:rRNA from 1 species
UACAGAGGUCUCAAGCGUUGUUCGGAUUCAUUGGGCGUAAAGGGUGCGUAGGCGGCGCGGUAAGUCGGGUGUGAAAUCUCGGGGCUUAACUCCGAAACUGCAUUCGAUACUGCCGUGCUUGAGGACUGGAGAGGAGACGUGGAAUUUACGGUGUAGCGGUGAAAUGCGUAGAUAUCGUAAGGAAGACCAGUGGCGAAGGCGGGUCUCUGGACAGUUC